AUGUUUGGCAAAAUCUCUAAAGUGGGCAGUAUGUCCGAUGCAGGAGCAGCUUUGUGCAGGUCCUAUGGGCGUGCGUUGGAGACUGAACUGAACCAACUUUAUAAAGCAAGGAGGAAGAAGAAGCCAACGGAGCCAGCCGAGCCACCAGCCCAAUCUGCCCCAACGGAAGCUUCUGUUGGAGAACCUAAAGCAAAUCUUUUGCGUAACCCCCCAAAAUCAUCUACUAAAGGACGCAAGAGAGACAAGAGGUACUAUUCGGGCAUUGAGUUGCAUCCGAAGAAGAAGACAAAAUGUGCAUACUGCAAAGAGUUAGGGAACAAUUGUGCCACUUGCACGCCUGGUCUAAACCGAAGUGCUUGA
rnacentral:rRNA from 1 species